rnacentral:rRNA from 1 species
ACGUGAAACCUUGUGGGAAGCAGGGAGGACCACCUCCCAAGGCUAAAUACUACCUGAUGACCGAUAGUGAAGCAGUACCGUGAGGGAAAGGUGAAAAGAACCCCGGGAGGGGAGUGAAAUAGAACCUGAAACCGUGUGCCUACAACCGCUCAGAGCCCCUUAUGAGGGUGAUGAGGUGCUUUUUGUAGAACGAGCCAACGAGUUACGGUAUGUAGCAAGGUUAAGUACUUAAGGUACGGAGCCGAAGGGAAACCGAGUCUGAAUAGGGCGACUAGUUGCAUGCCGUAGACCCGAAACCGGGUGACCUAUCCAUGGCCAGGUUGAAGCGAGGGUAAAACCUCGUGGAGGACCGAACCACGUUGCUGUUGAAAAAGCAUGGGAUGAGCUGUGGAUAGCGGAGAAAUUCCAAUCGAACCCGGAGAUAGCUGGUUCUCUCCGAAAUAGCUUUAGGGCUAGCGUCGAGUAUGAGUAGUGGAGGUAGAGCACUGAAUGGGCUAGGGGGCAUAGCGCUUACCGAACCUUAUCAAACUCCGAAUGCCACAUACUUUGAGCUCGGCAGUCAGACUACGAAUGAUAAGAUCCGUGGUCAAAAGGGAAACAGCCCAGAUCGUCAGCUAAGGUCCCAAAGUGUAAGUUAAGUGGGAAAGGAUGUGAGAUUUCUAAGACAA